rnacentral:rRNA from 1 species
UACAGGGGGGGCAAGCGUUGUUCGGAAUUACUGGGCGUAAAGGGCGCGUAGGCGGCCUGCUAAGUCGAACGUGAAAUCCCUGGGCUCAACCCAGGAACUGCGUCCGAUACUGGUUGGCUUGAAUCCGGGAGAGGGACGUGGAAUUCCAGGUGUAGCGGUGAAAUGCGUAGAUAUCUGGAGGAACACCGGUGGCGAAGGCGACGUCCUGGACCGGUAUUGACGCUGAGGCGCGAAAGCCAGGGGAGCAAACGGG